CGCCGCGGAGGGAGGGAGGGAGGGGCCGCCCUCCCAGGGAAAAGCCCGGCUCUUCUCCCCAAUAAACACUCCCCCCUCUAAAAAAAAAAAAAAAACUUUGGAAACUUCAACUUAACAACAGCAGACCCUCACAACCUCUGAGGAUGCCUGCCAUGGAUGAGGGUGAAACGUCAGGAGAGAAUGCUUCUGGAACAUGGCCAUGCAGCCCAGAAAACUCACUGCAACCCAGUGAUUCCAGCCAUGGAAGCCUUCAACAACACAAAUCUUGUAUUCUUUGGUUUUAUACACCCUCCCGAAACGAUUAAAGGGCUCCAUUAACCACAGAAUGAGAAGGUUAAUUAGAAUUUGACCGCUGUCUGAUAACAUAUGGAAUCUUAAAAUAGAUCCUCCACUCUAACUAAGCAACACACACAAAAAGUAAACAAGUAGGACUGAUGGGGAGCACAAGAACAUCUAUCUAAGCAAAUGUGGUUUUUUUGUUGUUGGAAUAGGUUUCAGUAUUUCGGUAUUUUGAAAUAUUUCACAAGACGCAUGCCUACGAUCAUCCCACACAAGUAUAUUUCUCUUAUAUUGCGCCAAAUUGCUAUGUGUGUGUGUGUAAAGAAAUCCUUGCAAAGUUGCAGAGGCAAGCCACGCCUCAAACAAUGUAUCGGUUUGAUGGCAGAUGGCUGGUUUUGUCAGUUGGUAAUCUGGGCUUGCAGGGAGAGCACAGGAAAGACAGGCUCUCUAGCUACGGUCAAGUAGCUGUUUGAAUAUGCUAUGCUGUAAAUGGAAUGCUGAUUGAUUAGUUAUUGAUCUUAUGCAACUACAUGGACAUUGUACGAUUGCAGAACUGUUUUACAUUUCAACUCAACAAGCAAGAGUAAAGUUCUUUUGUUCUUUCAA